CACAGCAACUACAGUCCCAACUACAAACACUACAGCUCCAACCACAGCAACUACAGCUCCAACUACAACAACUACAGCUCCAACUACAACAACGACUACCACUCCAGCCCAGGGCACUGAAGAUAUAAUAUAUCUACAAAUGAAAAUCACCACGUAUGGUGAGCUCAGCAAUGGAACCAUCGCUGAGCGUGUCAAUCAGUUCUUUAGAACGACGCUCCUGAACAGCACAGACUUCACAGUGAAAGUGAAAUCCAUUGAAAGGGUCAGAGUUGCCCCAUAGAAGCUCCAUGGGGACAGAGAUUGUAAAAAAAACAAUUGUACUGGUGGUAUAGUUUUAACACAAUGUAAAAGGGGAGUUCAUCAUAAUGAUUUUAUUAUAUAUGGAAAGAAAUAUUUGAGUUUUGUGACAGUUAGCUAAACACAUCAGAUGUAAGUGUGCUCCACUGUGCUGCAAAGAUCCACAACAUCUAUUUCCAAACCACCAGAAGUAGCUGGAUGUGCUCAAGGUGCAUGAGAAGGUGUUUUGGGGGAAAUGCAGAAGCUUGGAAGUCCCCUCAUGCACCUUUUAUUUUGUUAAAUAACAUGUAAAAUAUUUGCAGCACAGCACAGUUGAUUUUACCCCAACUACAACAACCACUACCCUAACAAUUUGACUGGAGCCAACACAUCAUGGUGUCAUAUGUGUUCAAGUUCCACUUAAGUAACCUUUUCAUAUGUGUAAAAAUCAAACGCAUACUGUCCUUAAACACUCACUAAUUGAUUCUCAGCAUUCCAUGUGUGAACUACAACUUACAAUAUAAACUGUAAUCUUCAAAAAAUUUAAUUUUUCUGACCAAAAAAAACAAAGACUUUCUCACCAAUCAUUGCAAACUAUGACGAGUUGUAAUUAUUUUUGAAGAACUGGUUUGUCCGUCUCCUCUUUUUAGUUUUCUUUUUUUUGGUGAUACUUUCGUUUGUAGUGUGUUGUGUAUUUUGUAAACAUGCACGUCUGAUAGCUUACCUGGUUUUUCCGGUUAUAUGACUGCAGCCUCUAUCACUGCUACCUUGUCACGCUCUCUGGAGCUGAAGGAGGAGCAAAGCACAACUUAAGCACAUUAGAAAUCAAAGACAAACUACCACUCUGUUCUUGUAGUAGUGAGGAGUAACACCACCCAUCAUGGAAAGAACAAUCCUCUAUUGUAUAUUUUUGCUUGGAUAUUUUCAUGCAUCCUGUGCCCAAGAUGUUAAUCAAACAACAAUUGUAGUAACAACCAUGACAGCUCCAACCACGGCAGCUCCAACUACAGCAACUACAGCUCCAACCACGGCAGCUCCAACCACGGCAGCUCCAACUACAACAACUACAGCUCCAACCACAGCAACUACAGCUCCAACCACAACAACUACAGUCCCAACCA